rnacentral:ncRNA from 1 species
GUCUAAGUACAUAGCUUAAAACGGUGAAACCGCGAAUGGCUCAUUAAAUCAGCUAUGGUUCCUAAGAUCAUAUAUACUAGAUGGAUAACUGUAGUAAUUCUAGAGCUGAUACAUGUAAGUAUGCCCUGACCCGCGAGUGAACGGGUGCAUCUAUUAGAACAGAACAGGCACCAAGAGAUGCACCUCAUAAAAUCUUACAGUUUGUGUGACAGGUGGGAUACUAUCCAGAUUCCCAGACAGGAGCAGAUGGAUGCCUAAAGAG